rnacentral:rRNA from 1 species
CAGUAGCCACGGUAAUACGAAGGGUGCAAGCGUUAAUCGGAAUUACUGGGCGUAAAGCGCACGCAGGCGGUUUGUUAAGUCAGAUGUGAAAUCCCCGAGCUUAACUUGGGAACUGCAUUUGAAACUGGCAAGCUAGAGUCUUGUAGAGGGGGGUAGAAUUCCAGGUGUAGCGGUGAAAUGCGUAGAGAUCUGGAGGAAUACCGGUGGCGAAGGCGGCCCCCUGGACAAAGGCUGACGCUCAGGUGCGAAAGCGUGGGGAGCAAACAGGAUUAGAUACCCGGGUAGUCCCUGUCUCUUAUAA